rnacentral:rRNA from 2 species
UACGAAGGGGGCUAGCGUUGCUCGGAAUUACUGGGCGUAAAGGGCGCGUAGGCGGGUCGUUUAGUUAGAGGUGAAAGCCCAGGGCUCAACCCUGGAACUGCCUUUAAUACUGGCGACCUAGAGUAUGACAGAGGUGUGUGGAACUCCGAGUGUAGAGGUGAAAUUCGUAGAUAUUCGGAAGAACACCAGUGGCGAAGGCGACACACUGGGUCAUUACUGACGCUGAGGCGCGAAAGCGUGGGGAGCAAACAGG